GGGGUUAUGGCUCAGUGUUAGAGCUCUUGCUUUGCAUGCAUGAGCCCCUGGGUUCAAUCCUCAGCACCA
rnacentral:tRNA from 1 species